CGCAGGGGUAGCAGCAGAGCUGGCGGCGAACGGUCCCUGCGCUGGCCUCUGGCAGGCGCCCCCCGGGGGCGGGAAGCUGCUUCCCAGGUCCAGACACUCAGCUUUCCAGGUCACACAUUUUAGCGUCCGGGAUAUCUGUACAAGCCUCUGGUGGAGACAGUAAUCAGAGCUCAUGUUCCCAGGCCUGUCUCAUUAAAGAGAUUGUUGGUAUCCUGG